rnacentral:rRNA from 1 species
GAUAAACGCUGGCGGCGCACAUAAGACAUGCAAGUCGAACGAACUUAAUUGAGAGCUUGCUCUCAAAGCGGUUAGUGGCGGACUGGUGAGUAACACGUAAGCAACCUGCCUAUUAGAGGGGAAUAACAGCGAGAAAUCGUUGCUAAUACCGCAUAUGCUGUGAGUAUCGCAUGAUACAAGCAGGAAAGGAGCAAUCCGCUAAUAGAUGGGCUUGCGUCUGAUUAGUUAGUUGGUGGGGUAACGGCCUACCAAGACGAUGAUCAGUAGCCGGACUGAGAGGUUGAACGGCCACAUUGGGACUGAGAUACGGCCCAGACUCCUACGGGAGGCAGCAGUCGGGAAUAUUGGACAAUGGGGGAAACCCUGAUCCAGCGACGCCGCGUGAGUGAAGAAGUAUUUCGGUAUGUAAAGCUCUAUCAGCAGGGAAGAAAAUGACGGUACCUGACUAAGAAGCCCCGGCUAACUACGUGCCAGCAGCCGCGGUAAUACGUAGGGGGCAAGCGUUAUCCGGAUUUACUGGGUGUAAAGGGAGCGCAGACGGCAAUGCAAGUCUGAAGUGAAAGGCGUGGGCUCAACCCAUGAACUGCUUUGGAAACUGUAUAGCUUGAGUGUCGGAGGGGUAAGCGGAAUUCCUAGUGUAGCGGUGAAAUGCGUAGAUAUUAGGAGGAACACCGGAGGCGAAGGCGGCUUACUGGACGACAACUGACGUUGAGGCUCGAAGGCGUGGGGAGCAAACAGG